GUGCCAGCAGCCGCGGUAAUACGGAGGGUGCAAGCGUUAAUCGGAAUUACUGGGCGUAAAGCGUGCGUAGGCGGCUUGGUAAGCCGGUUGUGAAAGCCCCGGGCUCAACCUGGGAAUGGCAUCCGGAACUGUCAGGCUAGAGUGCAGGAGAGGAAGGUAGAAUUCCCGGUGUAGCGGUGAAAUGCGUAGAGAUCGGGAGGAAUACCAGUGGCGAAGGCGGCCUUCUGGACUGACACUGACGCUGAGGUACGAAAGCGUGGGUAGCAAACAGGAUUAGAUACCCUGGUAGUCC
rnacentral:rRNA from 1 species